rnacentral:rRNA from 1 species
UGUAUAAUGGGUCAGCGACUUAUAUUCUGUAGCAAGGUUAACCGAAUAGGGGAGCCGAAGGGAAACCGAGUCUUAACUGGGCGUUAAGUUGCAGGGUAUAGACCCGAAACCCGGUGAUCUAGCCAUGGGCAGGUUGAAGGUUGGGUAACACUAACUGGAGGACCGAACCGACUAAUGUUGAAAAAUUAGCGGAUGACUUGUGGCUGGGGGUGAAAGGCCAAUCAAACCGGGAGAUAGCUGGUUCUCCCCGAAAGCUAUUUAGGUAGCGCCUCGUGAAUUCAUCUCCGGGGGUAGAGCACUGUUUCGGCAAGGGGGUCAUCCCGACUUACCAACCCGAUGCAAACUGCGAAUACCGGAGAAUGUUAUCACGGGAGACACACGGCGGGUGCUAACGUCCGUCGUGAAGAGGGAAACAACCCAGACCGCCAGCUAAGGUCCCAAAGUCAUGGUUAAGUGGGAAACGAUGUGGGAAGGCCCAGACAGCCAGGAUGUUGGCUUAGAAGCAGCCAUCAUUUAAAGAAAGCGUAAUAGCUCACUGGUCGAGUCGGCCUGCGCGGAAGAUGUAACGGGGCUAAACCAUGCACCGAAGCUGCGGCAGCGACGCUUAUGCGUUGUUGGGUAGGGGAGCGUUCUGUAAGCCUGCGAAGGUGUGCUGUGAGGCAUGCUGGAGGUAUCAGAAGUGCGAAU